rnacentral:rRNA from 1 species
AUGGAGGGAUGUCUAGGAACAUUGUUGUCGCAGGAGGAGCACCGACCGGCGCAGCGCCAGCAGGCCGGCCACCGCGGGGAGCGCGACGAGCAGGCGACAGCAGCCACCUGCACUGCGCCGCCGCCGCGCCCGCCCGCAGCCACCGCCGCCAGGAACCGCUGGGGCACCGCAAAGCAGCAGCCGUCAAGGACCGCCGCGCAUGUGCUCACCCGCCCAGCGGCUACCACCGGCGGCGGCCGGGAGGGGUGGAAGGAGGGGGACGGGUGGGUUGGGGCAGAAACGCGCAGCCCAGAUCUAGGCGCCCUCAUCUCUGCCGCUCGCAGCAGCGGCCGGCCGCUGCCACAGCAGCACCACCGCGCACGCGUUCCACACCAUCCCGGCCUCCCCUGA